UUUCAGGGAUUUUUGCGAUUCCUCUCUGUAGGCUUCUACUUGUUUAUUAAUGUUUUCCCGUGUUUCCCUAAGUGUGUUCAUGUCUUUCUUGAAGUCCUCCAGCAUCAUGAUCAAAUAUGAUUUUGAAACUAGAUCUUGCUUUUCUGGUGUGUUUGGAUAUUCCAUGUUUGUUUUGGUGGGAGAAUUGGGCUCCGAUGAUGGCAUGUAGUCUUGGUUUCUGUUGCUUGGUUUCCUGCGCUUGCCUCUCGCCAUCAGAUUAUCUCUAGUGUUACUUUGUUCUGCUAUUUCUGACAGUGGCUAGACUGUCCUAUAAGCCUGUGUGUCAGGAGUGCUGUAGACCUUUUUUCCUCUCUUUCAGUCAGUUAUGGGGACAGAGUGUUCUGCUUUCGGGCGUGUAGUUUUUCCUCUCUACAGGUCUUCAGCUGUUCCUGUGGGCCUGUGUCUUGAGUUCACCAGGCAGCUUUCUUGCAGCAGAAAAUUUGGUCUUACCUGUGGUCCUGAGGCUCAAGUUCGCUCGUGGGGUGCUGUCCAGGGGCUCUCUGCAGUGGCAGCAACCAGGAAGACCUGUGCCGCCCCUUCCGGGAGCUUCAGUGCACCAGGGUUCCAGAUGGUCUUUGGCUUUUUCCUCUGGCGUCCGAGAUGUGUGUGCAGGGAGCAGUCUCUUCUGGUUUCCCAGGCUUGUCUGCCUCUCUGAAGGUUUAGCUCUCCCUCCCACGGGAUUUGUGUGCAGAGAACUGUUUAUCUGGUCUGUUUCUUUCAGGUUCCGGAGGUGUCUCAGGCAGGUGUCCUGCUGCUCCUGGGCCCUCCCCCAUGGGAGCCCAGAGGCCAGAGGCCUUAUACAGUUUCCUCUUGGGCCAGGGAUGUGGGCAGGGGUGAGCAGUGUUGGUGGUCUCUUCCACUCUGCAGCCUCAGGAGUGUCCACCUGACCAGGCGGUUGGGUCUCUCUCUGAGAAUUUCAUUUUUAAAUCAUUCAUUAAAAUGUCAUGACUUGAUGUCCUGCUGUCCUCGCGCUCACCCGCUCAGCUGUAACAGUGCCGAGGGAGUCACUGAAGAAGAGACUGAAUGACCAGAGUAUGGGCAGCACAGACAACUCAACAAAAAUGUCUUCAGAGGUGGAGACUGCGGAGGCCGUAGAUGAGUCAGAGAAGAACUCUAUGGCAUCUGAGAAGGAAAACCAUUCCAAAAUAGCAGACUUUUCUGAUCUUCUGAAGGAAGGGACAAAGGAAGCAGAUGACCGGGCAGAAAAUACCCAGUUUGUCAAAGACUUCUUGAAAGGAAACAUUAAGAAGGAGCUAUUUAAGCUGGCCACCACUGCACUUUACAUACUCAGCCCCUGAGGAGGAAAUGGAUUGCACUGACCAAGGACAUGGAGUACUUCUUUGGUGAAAACUGGGAGGAAAAAGUGAAGUGCUCUGAAGCUGCCCAGACGUAUGUGGAUCAGAUUCACUAUGUAGGGCAAAAUGAGCCAGAGCAUCUGGUGGCCCAUACUUACUCUACUUACAUGGGGGAAACCUUUCAGGGGACCAGGUACUGAAGAAGGAGACCCAGCCGGUCCCUUCACUAGGGAAGGGACCUAGUUCUACCUGUUUGAGCAUGUAGACAAUGCUAAGCAAUUCAAGCUAUUCUACCGCGCUAGAAUUGAAUGCCUUGGACCUGAAUUUGAAGACCAAAGGGAGGUUGUGGAGGAAGCCACCAAAGCCUUUGAAUAUAAUAUGCAGAUAUUCAGUGAACUGGACCAGGCAGGCUCCAUACCAGUAAGAGAAACCCUAAAGAAUGGGCUCUCAAUACUUGAUGGGAAGGGAGAUGUAUGCAAAUGUCCCUUUAAUGCUGCUCAGCCAGACAAAGGUACCCUGGGAGGCAGCAACUGCCCUUUCCAGAUGUCCAUGGCCUUGCUGAGGAAGCCUAACUUGCAGCUCAUUCUAGUUGCCAGUAUGGCCUUGGUAGCUGGACUUUUAGCCUGGUACUACAUGUGAAGGGCCUGUCAAGUUGUUAGCAUCCUAUCUCAACAUCCUACCACUUGUUCCUUCCCCACCUCCACCUCUGCCUAGAACUACCACCUCAGGUGACAUUUUUAAUGUUGGGUUUGAGAAAAUGAGCAACCAAUAAAAGACAGACCCUAGAAAAAAGUCAUGACUUAAGUGGCACGGGGACACCUAAAGUCACACUUUGUGCUUCAGACAUACUUUCUUUCUCUAUUUCAACACUGAAUUC
rnacentral:lncRNA from 1 species